rnacentral:rRNA from 1 species
UACGUAGGGUGCGAGCGUUAAUCGGAAUUACUGGGCGUAAAGUGUGCGCAGGCGGCAGAGCAAGUCGAGUGUGAAAGCCCCGGGCUUAACUUGGGAAUUGCGCUCGAAACUACUUUGCUGGAGUGUGGCAGAGGAAGGUGGAAUUCCACGUGUAGCGGUGAAAUGCGUAGAGAUGUGGAGGAACACCAAUGGCGAAGGCAGCCUUCUGGGCCAACACUGACGCUCAUGCACGAAAGCGUGGGGAACAAACAGG